UACGUAGGGGGCCAGCGUUGCUCGGAAUUACUGGGCGUAAAGGGUUCGUAGGUGGUGCGGCAAGUUGGGAGUGAAAUCUCUGGGCUUAACCCAGAGGCUGCUUUCAAAACUGCCGUGCUCGAGUGCGAGAGAGGUCAGUGGAAUUGCAGGUGUAGCGGUGAAAUGCGUAGAUAUCGUAAGGAAGACCAGUGGCGAAGGCGGGUCUCUGGACAGUUCCUGACGCUGAGGCACGAAGGCCAGGGGAGCAAACGGG
rnacentral:rRNA from 1 species